GCCGCACCAGGCGCCGCCACCACCUGAGGCUGAACGGAGCAGCGCCUGACCUAGGGUUUCCGGCAGUGGGCUGAUACAUGAUUUUUCCAGCCAUUGCUGGUUGCUACCAUCGCCAGAGAAGAAGGUCAGUGACAGUGGUGUGAAGUUGUUGGAUUCCGGCCACCACAACACUGAAUGCCUUGGUUGUUUCCUUGAUAUCCAACUUUGAUCCGAUCAGUGAAAGGACUUUGACGCGAGACGGGUAUCUCGGAGUCAGAUUUGGACUUUUCUUAUCGGAGG